rnacentral:rRNA from 1 species
CGGACGGGUGAGUAACGCGUGAGAACCUGCCCUUGGGAGGGGGACAACCACUGGAAACGGUGGCUAAUACCGGAUGUGCCGAAAGGUGAAAGGUUAACUGCCUGAAGAUGAGCUCGCGUCUGAUUAGCUAGUUGGUAGAGUAAAAGCCUACCAAGGCGACGAUCAGUAGCUGGUCUGAGAGGACGAUCAGCCACACUGGGACUGAGACACGGCCCAGACUCCUACGGGAGGCAGCAGUGGGGAAUUUUCCGCAAUGGGCGAAAGCCUGACGGAGCAAUACCGCGUGAGGGAGGAAGGCUCUUGGGUCGUAAACCUCUUUUCUCAGGGAAGAACACAAUGACGGUACCUGAGGAAUAAGCAUCGGCUAACUCCGUGCCAGCAGCCGCGGUAAUACGGAGGAUGCAAGCGUUAUCCGGAAUGAUUGGGCGUAAAGCGUCCGCAGGUGGCAAUGUAAGUCUGCUGUUAAAGAGUCUAGCUCAACUAGAUAAGAGCAGUGGAAACUACAUAGCUAGAGUACGUUCGGGGCAGAGGGAAUUCCUGGUGUAGCGGUGAAAUGCGUAGAGAUCAGGAAGAACACCAGUGGCGAAGGCGCUCUGCUAGGCCGUAACUGACACUGAGGGACGAAAGCUAGGGGAGCGAAUGGGAUUAGAUACCCCAGUAGUC